UCAUUACUGAGUUUUUACUCUCCAACCAUGUGAACUUACCACUGUUGCCUCGGUGGAUGGUGCUGCUCCCUCGGGGGUGGUGCUGCCGCCGGUGGACAAACUAAACUCUUGUUAAUUUUUGGCAUUCUGAAUCAAAUCAAGAAAUAAGUUAAAACUUUCAACAACGGAUCUCUUGGUUCUGGCAUCGAUGAAGAACGCAGCGAAAUGCGAUAAGUAAUGUGAAUUGCAGAAUUCAGUGAAUCAUCGAAUCUUUGAACGCACAUUGCGCCCAUUAGUAUUCUAGUGGGCAUGCCUGUUCGAGCGUCAUUUCAACCCUUAAGCCUAGCUUAGCGUUGGGAGACUGCACUAAACCGCAGCUCCUCAAAACCAGUGGCGGAGUCUGUUCGUACUCUGAGCGCAGUAAUUUAUUAUCUCGCUUCUGUAAGUACGGCUGACGACAGCCAUAAACCGCACCCUUCGGGGGCACUUUUUAAUGGUUGACCUCGGAUCAGGUAGGAAUACCCGCUGAACUUAAGCAUAUCAAUAAGCGGAGGA
rnacentral:rRNA from 1 species